rnacentral:lncRNA from 1 species
CCGCCGUCAACGCCUCUAGGAGCACCACCACCACGAUUGCCGCCGCUAGUCCUCUGAUAACCUCCAUGGAAGAAUAUUCUAGAAGUUUUCACCAAACCUCAGGGAGUCGCUGCGUGCGGUAGAGUGCGAAUUUCGGUUUUCUCGUAACUUCAGUCGUUCAUCCGGUUGAAGAACUAAUGUCGUUUUAGAUUAAACGACUUCGUUUCU